rnacentral:rRNA from 1 species
UACGGGGGGGGGCAAGCGUUGUUCGGAAUUACUGGGCGUAAAGGGCUCGUAGGUGGCCAACUAAGUCAGACGUGAAAUCCCUCAGCUUAACUGGGGAACUGCGUCUGAUACUGGAUGGCUUGAGUUUGGGAGAGGGAUGCGGAAUUCCAGGUGUAGCGGUGAAAUGCGUAGAUAUCUGGAGGAACACCGGUGGCGAAGGCGGCAUCCUGGACCGGUAUUGACGCUGAGGAGCGAAAGCCAGGGGAGCAAACGGG